UCCGCCGUGCGUGGCGCUUGGCGUUGGUCUACCCAGGGCUGCAAGUGCGAUUCGGGAUCCGCCCCGCCGGGAACCGGUGGAGGUACCGCGGCCCACGAACAGAGGGGUUGAACUCGGGUCCUUGCGCUGAGCUAAAUCCCCGGCGAAGGAUUUAAACCACAGCAGUGACCUCUGAGUUUCCAGAAUGCACGUGUCCAGAAGAGAUGAACAGCUGACUGUGGACCAAAACCUCUACAAACUGAAAGCGAGCUGCUGCCUUUUCAAUUGCAGUUACAUCAAAUUUAUACAUCACUGAAGGUUCUACUGUCUUCAGGAAGCUGGGUCCGGACACAGGGAGGAACCAGCCCUUCGCUUCCUGAGACCUCCGUUCUCUGAGGUCCUUGAUGAAAGCAUUCAGUGAAGACCCUCAGGCCAUGCAGAGGCCAGGCCUGAGGCAGAAGGUCUUCGCAGAACAUCUCUCUCCCUGCCGUCCCUGGGCCGUAGAUGAUGGAAGUUGGGAACCUGGCAGAAGGGCCUCAUUCUGGAACUAGGGGCCUCAAAAGGACUGUGCACAGCGUGUCACCUGAAGACGUCCCUGUGUUCUGUGAGACCGCCGAGUCUGAGGUAUUUCAAAGGUUUCACAUAUGAGAGAAAACACUCAGUAGCUGUGUUUCUGAGUCUGGCUUACUUCGCUCAACAGAACAAUCUCCGCUACCAUUUCCUACGCGUGACGGGACUUCUUUGUGGCACAGUUUACUCCGUGUGUAUGCGCCCUGCAUGGCCUUUCUCCAUUCAUCUGGGAGGCCAUUGGGGUGAUUUUCUAGUCUGGAAACCGUGAACAGUGCCAUACUAAACACAGGAGUGCAGAUGAUACACUGAUGUAUUGCAGGGAUGCUUUGAGCUUUGGGAGGGCUGCUUCACCUCUAAAGUCCACUAAAAGCAUUUCUGGACAUGCCAGUGUGAGACACAGGCAGGUGUGCAAGGAAGAGCUUGAAAGGAAGAGAAAACACAGAAGGGACUUCAGCUUGAGCAGCUGAAGGGGGUACAGCCCUGACGGAGAGGGUCAGACUGGCCCCUCAACAAAAGGAAGGGACGGAGCCCGGGUGGGCUCGGGUCUGGCUGCUCACGAUCUCAUUUCCGGUUCCGGGCCCCAGAUCCUGACCUCGCUGCUGGUGUUCAGCCCCAGGCCUCAUACACUAGCCCUGAGGGCAAGCUCUUCAAAAGUCUGCCCCGCCCUCGCUGUCACCCCGAACAGCUCUGGGAACCAAAGCCCCGCAGCCCCCUCCUCUGCCCCUGAGCUCGCCGGGGUCUCUCAGCCAAGCUUCACCUGGGGAAUCUGAGUGCAGUGCCGCGCAGGCUGCUGGAAGACGCGCAGUAAACCAGGAGCCUGUGAUGAGCUCACAAGAGGGAGCACGCAUUGAGCACCUACUGCACGCUGGGCCUUGGACUGGUCGCUGAGAUCCACAGUGAGCUCCUCCUGCCCCCUGGUGCUGGAAGCCCAGUGUUUCUGGAAGGUCAAGAAGUGAGGCGCUGGCUGAAGGGACGCAGGAUUCCAUCAGGGAGGUUGGCUCACCUGUGGUACCAGCGAGCGGCUUGUCUUCCCCAAGUGAGACACCAGGAGUUCGCAGUCUGCAGGGGCCCCGGGGCCUGAGCAUCGAGUGCUCCGAGAGGGCAGGAGGCACAGCUGUGAUGCCGCCUGUAUCCGCCCGUCUUCAUCUCGAAGUCACACGACGUCUCAUUUCUGCAGUAACCUCUCGAUUAUCAGGCCCGCCCUCCUGAGUGGAGGAGAGAACCGAACAGGUCACGAACACUGGCGGCUGAGAGGCACUGUUUGUUUUAUUUAAGCUGGCGUCCACAUCUGCCAUCCUCAACACAGGAUGUAUCCUCACGUUCUGAGACAGCUGCAGUAACACCAGCUCUCACAUCACACUUAAUGCAUUCUAGCUAGUGGGAAGGAAGAAAGGAAGCGGGGUGUGCUGUUGUCCCAGAAAGAUACUUUACAGAAGUUAGCUGGACCAUUCUACUUUUACCUCACUGGUCAGAACUUAGUUUAGGAUUUAUUCUGAGUGACUGCGUGUGUACCCAGCAGAUAUUGGGGACAACUGGCAGCCUGUGCCGUCUCAGCAGUGGUCCCAAGUAUACUACAGAGGAUGGGGAGAGGGGACACAGAGAACCGUCGCUACCUUGGGUCACUGCCCUAGUAAGGACUCAAGACCCAUUUUGUCUGAGAAGUGUGUGUGUGUGUGUGUGUGUGUGUGUGUGUGUGUGUGUGUGUAAAACAGGAGUGUACAUUAGUGCCUUACCCUGUAAUUACUGAAUCUCGGUGUAAAGAGAAAACGGUUCCUACAGGAGACAAACAAGCGCACAAAACAGACCCAGUCCCAGAGCCCAGUCAGGGACGGCCCAGAAACCAGGCCAAUCCAGGACCGGGCAAGACCCUCACUGGAGGCAACCAGCCCCACUCUGUACACAGAACUGCAGGCUUCCUGCAGAACUCCCAGGCUGCCUGAUUUAUGGGUCCCAAUACGGAAGCACAGAUGGGCAAUUCUACCAGCUGUGUUUUUAAAAGCGCAUAUGAUUCCUGAUCAAUGAACCAGAGAGACCAAAUGCAGAAGUGUUCAGUGCCAAGCAGCAAUCUGCCCGGCGACCUCUCAGCGACCAGAGUCGGGGCUGGAGCAGCCAGCUGGGCCCUGACUCAAGCUGGGGUUGGCCUCAAACUUGUGGUCCUCCUGCCUCAGCCUCCUAGGCUGCAGGGAAUACAGGUGAGUGUCCCCUCCCCGGCCUGUGCUGUGUCUGCAUUGCACCAGUGUUAAGUGAGCACCCACUCAGCGGCAAAGACACUGCACCCCAGGUCACAGGGCAGAGGAAGGCUUGUAGGACAUCACUUCAGAUGGGUACACAGUGACCCCGCUGAGUACAUCGUGUGGUGACAGGGGAUGUCCAAGGUCCAGAAGUAAUGGGAGGCGCUGCAGAGAAGGUGACACUGGGCAGGAGCUGGAGUCCUCUGCCAUCAGCGGGGCCAGGGGGCAGGGCUUCCCGGGUCUGAGCUGGCAGCUUCCUGGGGUCAGUAAGGGCAUUUCUGGGCUGAGAGUGUUCACCAUGCUCUGAAAUCUCCGGGCUCCCUCAGCGUGCACCGCAGCCCUGACCUCCUUGCACUGAGCGACUGGGCGGAGUAGGGGAGAGGAGAUGCACCCUGCCUGCAGCUCUCAUGGGCUUUGGUACUGGACCGUUAUGGCAGAGGCUGUGUAUGGUGGGAAAGGGUGAGGGUUUUAUGGCCUUUGAGAACCCACACAAGCUCCCUUCCGUCUCCUUAUAGGUUCCCAAGUGACUCUAGGUUGACCCUCAGACCUAACUGUCCCCAGCCACCUCUGGUGGGCAGGAGGCAGGGCUGGGAAUGCAGCGGGCUACUCGGGCUUUCCACUCGGCGGUCAGACCCUGUCCUCUGAAGUCUUGGGCCUCUUCAGAAUCAGUGGGGCCCCCACAGCACCCAUCUUGUCUUACACACUUUCCAGUACCCACAGUUUAAAAGAGAGGCCGGGCUCAUGGUUUCAGUCUCUGGUCAGCUAUCCCCAAGGCAGAACUGAAUGAGGCGGAGGUGGAGGAGCCGGGGAUGAGGACACACCCUUCCAAGUCACACUCCCACCCCUUCCGAUCCGGCCGCACCUUCAAAGGGAGGCUGCAGUUUAGAUCUAAACAAUCACAUGCCUCCUGCAGCUUGUCCUACAUUAUGAAAACAAGAGAUCCAGCUCAUGCUGGCACAUUCUAGUCUCUUCUUGGGGUGUGCAAGUUUGGUUUUCCUGCAGGAUGCAGGAAAAUGUGAGAUGUAAAUAAAUCACCAGGUGAACCAGAACUGAAGAGCUACCCAAGAAUCAAACAGUUGUUCGCUGAAGGCAGACGGAACCCUGGGCUUCAUGAGGUCCAGCAGAUACCACCUCCUCACUGGGUCAAGGUAGGCAGGUGAUGGAGAAAGACCCACACUGAGUCGCCAGCCAGUCUUCAACGACAGGUGGACCAGGAACCUCAGACCCAGAGCUGCCAGGGCACAGGGAGGUCAGGAGGAUGGUCCUGCCCUGGCCAAAGCAGCGCGUGCGUCCAGGAAGUCCCUCCUCCUGCUUGCUGCUCUUCUGAGAUGGGCAAACAGCCUCCUGGUGGCCUUGGGUUCUCUCUCCUCUCUGCCAGCUCCAAUCCCAAGGCCUGGCUCAGGUUAUAUCCUUCCGGCUCAGAAAACCUUUAAUUACAAACAGCUUGGCCUGGACCUUAUCCAACCUGCCUCUCCCCACUCCCUCACAUGUGCGCCUCGCUCCUUUUUUUCAGUACUAGGGCUUUGUGCCUGCUAAGCAGGUGCUUAUCACUGAGCUACACACCCCAGCCUUUUUUCCUGCUAAGUUUCCUGGGCUGGGCUCAAGCUUGAGAUCCUCCUGCCUCAACUUCCCGAGUUGCUGGGAUUACGAGUAUGCCAUGCACCACCACUCUCAGCUGCCCGUACUUCUUAUACUCGACCCACGAAAAUGCCCAUCUUUAUUCAGGGCCCUGGACCUCACCUCUAUCUGGCCGGCAAUGCCCUCUUGUCGCUGCCAUCAGCCCCAGGCCCACCUUCAGGGCUUCUCGCCUAACAGAUCUUCUCUGUCACCCUCUGCCCUCUGCACCCAUGGCCUAAGGGAUGGGGCUUUUUAUUAGAUGUGCAUCUUUAAUUAUAGGAGUGUUACAUGCUUGUAAAAACAUUCCCACAUUACAGACGCACACACAGUAAAACGAGCGUGUGUCAUCCCCACUCUGCUCUCCCUGAAACUCACCCCGGUUUGCAGUGAGCCAGUGUGUGGACACCCAUUUUACCCAGCGCUCUUGGGACCUCCCCUAAGUAGUGAACAGCUGACUGCCAACUUGCAGUGGCAGAGCGGGGCGAGCACGACCAGAGAUGGUGCAAGUUUUUGGAGAGGGGUGACUUGCCCUGAGUUGGAAAAAAAAAAUCCCCAAGGUCAGUCUGCGGGACCCCUUGAUUUCUUUUACAAGGCAGUUCAAAGCACAAAGCCCCAGGGAGGCAUUCCUAGGUCUCCUGGGAAUAUUCAUCCUGUUCUCUGAAGCCAGACUCAAGCCCAUGCUGAGCAGAGCGGUGGAGGUGCCUGGCAGCCUUAACUUCGUGGUCACUCGGUGAGAUGCAGAGGCAGUGGGGGCGCUAGGGCUUUCCUUCUCCAGCGUGGGGCCCAGCCCAGCCACCACAGGCCCCUCACCGCCAGGCCGGAGACCCCUGUGUACCUUCCUGGCAAGGUAGUGACUGUCCUUACAGUAUGGCCCACGAUAAGAGCAACCCCGGGGAUAAACGGGCCGGCUGCUCCUUAGAAUUGGACCUGGUAAAGAACCAAGGCCAUACUGAGUGCUGCCACGUUUCUAGGGGCCUGAACAACAGAGUGAAAACAUGAUCUCUCCAUUCCCCAAGGGGCCACAGCUCUCCUCCAUCCCUAGCUCAAAUAAGUGUUUAGGGAGCAGGGACUGGAGGACCCCUGUGUGGGGAGGGCAGGGCAAGCUAUCCCAAGGCAGCAGCAUUGAAAAGGAUAAACCGGAAGCCGGCAGGUAAAGGUAAGAGCAGCGACGGGCAGAGGUCCAGAGGUCCGCAGGAUGUGGGAGGAAAUGAAAACUCGUUGUGGCUGAGCCUCGUGUGUGAGGGGAAGCCCGGGAGAGGACGGCAGGGCCAGCGACUUUCCCUGCCAGGCUUAAAAGCCAGGAGGUGUUUGUCGCAGUGGUGAAGGAGGAGUUUUAAGCAGAAGAGUGACAUUUUAGACGGGUGACUGUGGCUGCCACACAGACCGCGAGUUGGAGGAAGUGAAGGCCCUCGGGACAGUGAUGACCGGAGCAGACACCAGUGUUCAGAGAAUGCAAAGCGGAGCGAGGGAGGCAGGAGGACGGGGACCCUGGCUGGGCUGCUGGGGGUGCAGGUGUCAGGUCCACGCGGCAUUACCUGGUUGGACUGUGUGGGGAGCUGGGGGCCCCGGCACGUUUCCACAGGUGAAGGACUGAAGGCUAUCAGACUGCUGACAGUGAACGCCAGUCGGCUUCCCUGGGACACAGCCUCUGGGGUGCUACUGGACCCCACUGUCCCGGAGCAGAUGCCGCAGUGCACAGCCUGUACCUCCAGCUGACCUCCGCUCGCCUGACUACAAGUCCGGCCCCCGCUCCCGCCAGCUUUCUGUGUACAGAAGUAGUUCACCAUCAGCCCGUCUCCCACCCCUCAGUCGAGAGUCUAGCCAAAGCGGUUUCCCUGCUUGACAGUGAAACUCCUCUCGAACACAGGCUAGAGGCUCCUGCCCGCCACAAGGGCCUGAAGGGACUCCACAGACUCCGAUGUUCUCUGCACACCCGGCAUCUGUGGGUGCAGUGGGGGUGGGUACGGGCUGAGGUGCCGUCUGAGGCUUGGAGCUUGGAGGUGCUGGGCUGCGGAGGGUGGAGAGUACAUACAAGAAUCCGAAGCCCCAGCUCCUGUCUCCAGUUCCCUAGGUGACCUUUGACGCGGCUGGUCCUCCUCGCCCUCCAAGGUCUCUGCACACACUAAUUCCCUCUGCCUGGAACACUCUGCCCCUUUCUCUCUGCCUGUGUGGCUCUUGCUCUUCCUUCACCUCUGUGCUUGAUCAGGGAACACCCCGAGUUGAGGACUCCCUCAGACAGAGUUCUGUUACGUCCUCCCCUCCGUUACGGUGUUUGGUGUGCUGUAUUUGUUUGCUACCAUUUGCCUCCCCGACAGACUGUGACUUCCAGGAGCAGGGGGUUCUGCCUGUCUCACUCCCUGCUCCCACCCUCGGCUCUGCAUGUGGUAAAACAAAAGGCCCAACUGGAUACGAUCCUUCCCAGAAACAGCAUUGUUUUCUAGGAUUCUAUUGCUUCAUCUGAAGUAAGAGGAUGUCACUGUUUUCUGCCUUAAUUGUGUAUCUGAUGGCUCUGUUCAUCCCCAUAAAGCUUGGGGUGCUUUGAAUAAAUGCUCCCAUUAGCACAUGACCCUUGUUUUCUACCCCCAGUCACCCAGGAACCUUAGGAUGGAAACUCAGGCUGUGCCAGGAGCCCCAGGCCCUGGUGUCGGUGCUGGAGUUGGACGACCCCUUCCAGGGCAGGAUGAGUCUCCAGAAGGCUCUGCCGUGCCCUACAGGGCAGAGGAUAAAGGUCCUUCCAGCUCCCCUGGACCAGGCAGGAGUGAGGGUCACAGCUCAGAACCAGGAAUUGUAUCCCAAGGGCCCCAAGAGCCCCAGCCUCAGUCCAGCUGUCUGUCAUCAGUGUCAAAAUGAGGGGAGGAGCUUUUUCUGAAGCGGAGCCGAGGUCUGGCUUAGGCCCCAGGGCGUCACUGCAGGCCUGGCAGGAGGGUUACCUGGUUGCCCUUG